rnacentral:rRNA from 1 species
GAUGAACGCUGGCGGCGUGCCUAAUACAUGCAAGUCGAACGAAACUUCUUUAUCACCGAGUGCUUGCACUCACCGAUAAAGAGUUGAGUGGCGAACGGGUGAGUAACACGUGGGCAACCUGCCCAAAAGAGGGGGAUAACACUUGGACACAGGUGCUAAUACCGCAUAACCAUAGUUACCGCAUGGUAACUAUGUAAAAGGUGGCUAUACUACCGCUUUUGGAUGGGCCCGCGGCGCAUUAGCUAGUUGGUAGGGUAAAGGCUUACCAAGGCAAUGAUGCGUAGCCGAAUUGAGAGGUUGAUCGGCCACAUUGGGACUGAGACACGGCCCAAACUCCUACGGGAGGCAGCAGUAGGGAAUCUUCCGCAAUGGGCGAAAGCCUGAUGGAGCAACGCCGCGUGGGUGAAGAAGGUCUUCGGAUCGUAAAACCCUGUUGUUAGGGAAGAAAGUGCGUGAGAGUAACUGUUCACGUUUCGACGGUAUCUAACCAGAAAGCCACGGCUAACUACGUG